AUCCUUUUGCAGUUCAUAAUUGUGAUAACUGGGAGUUCAUGCGCAUGUGUGAGAUGUGCCUCCCUCAAACUUUGUUUCGACGUCAGCACAUUACCUGAUGUGAAA
rnacentral:snoRNA from 1 species